UACGUAGGGUGCAAGCGUUAAUCAGAAUUACUGGGCGUAAAGGGAGCGUAGGCGGAUAGUUUAGUCAGAGGUGAAAGCCCAGGGCUCAACCUUGGAAUUGCCUUUGAUACUGGCUAUCUUGAGUACGGAAGAGGUAUGUGGAACUCCGAGUGUAGAGGUGAAAUUCGUAGAUAUUCGGAAGAACACCAGUGGCGAAGGCGACAUACUGGUCCGUUACUGACGCUGAGGCUCGAAAGCGUGGGGAGCAAACAGG
rnacentral:rRNA from 1 species